AAUAAAUAAAUAAAUAAUAGGGCCGAGUGCAGUGGCUCACACAUGUAAUCCCAGUACUUUGGGAGGCCAAGGCGGGUGGAUCACGAGGUCAGGAGUUCGAGACCAGCCUGACCAACAUGGUGAAACACCGUCUCUACUAAAAAAUACAAAAAUUAGCCAGGCAUAGUGGCACAUGCCUAUACUCCCAGCUACUCAGGAGGCUGAGGCAGAAGAAUCGCUUGAACGCGGGAGGCAAGGUUGCAGUGAGCUGAGAUCGCACCACUGCACUCCAGCCUGGGCGACAGAGCAAAACUCUGUCUCAAAAUAAUAAUAAUUGGAGAUCUAAAUACCUUACCUUCAGUAAUGACAGAACAACUACAUAGAAAAUCAGCAAGUAUAUAAAAUAGUUGAACAACACUAUUAAUGUAGCUAAAAUAUAUAUGACACUCCACCCAAUAACUGCAGAUAUAUAUUUUCAAGUGCACAUGGAACAGUCUUCAGGAUAGACCAAUGCUAGGCCAUAAAACAAGUCUCAAUAAAUUUAAAAGAAUUUAAGGGCUGGGCACGGUGGCUCAGGCCUGCAAUCCCAGCACUUUGGGAGGCUGAGACAGGGGAUUGCUUGAAUCUGCAGGGGAUUUUGAAACCAACCUUAACAGCAAAGCAAGAUGCCAUCUCUAUAAAUAAUAAAAGAAUAUAAACCAGCCGGCUGAUUCUUUUAAAAGAGCAACAGAAUUCAC
rnacentral:lncRNA from 10 species